ACACCCCUCAAGCCUGGCUUGGUAUUGGGCGUCGGGACUCCCCCGCGCCCCGAUUUCGCCGGCUGGACGACCCCGAUCUCUCAAGCGUUGUACAAAACUCGCUGGCGGGACGGGCGGCCACGCCGUUAAACCCUUAAUCAA
rnacentral:misc_RNA from 3 species